rnacentral:rRNA from 1 species
GCUACUAUGCCUCUUGGUGGAUGGCUCGGCUCGAGCGCCGACGAAGGACGUGCCAAGCUGCGAUAAGCCUGAGGGAGCCGCACGGAGGCGAAGAACUCAGGAUUUCCGAAUGGGAAUCCCCACCGCAAUUGCUUCGCGCAAUGGGGAACGCCGGGAAUUGAAACAUCUCAGUACCGGCAGGAAGAGAAAACGAAUGUGAUGUCGUCAGUAACCGCGAGUGAACGCGACACAGCCCAAACCGAAGCCCUCACGGGCAAUGUGGUGUUUGGACUGACACUCAUCGUCUGACGGUCUUCACGAAGUCUCCUGGAACGGAGCGUGAAACAGGGUGACAACCCCGUAGUGAAGACCAGUACGACGUGCGUCAGCUCCGGAGUAUCGGGGGUUGGAAAUCCCUCGUGAACAUGGCAGGCAUCUACUGCUAAGGCUAAAUACGACUCGAGACCGAUAGUGGAAAAGUAGCGUGAGCGAACGCUGCAAAGCACCCUCAGAAGGGAGGUGCAAUAGGGCCUGAAAUCAAGUGGCGAUGGAGCGACGGGGCAUGAAAGGCCUCACCAGAAACGACCGAAGAGCGAUCUUCCAGUAGGACUGGCGAGGAGCCGAUGUUCCGUCGUACGUUUUGAAAAACGAACCAGGGAGUGUGUCUACGAGGCGAGUCUAACCCGGUCAUCGGGGAAGGCACAGGGAAACCGACAUGGCCGCAGUGCUUUGCACCAGGGCCGCCGUGUUCAAGCGCGGGGAGUCUCGUGGGUACGACCCGAAACCGGAUGAUCUACGCGUGGGCAAGGUGAAGCGUACCGAAAGGCACGUGGAAGCCUGUUAGGGAUGGUGUCCUACAAUACCCUCCCGUGACCUACGUGUAGGGGUGAAAGGCCCAUCGAAUCCGGCAACAGCUGGUUCCGACCGAAACAUGUCGAAGCAUGACCUCCGCCGAGGUAGUUCGUGAGGUAGAGCGACCGAUUGCCGUGUCCGCCCUCGAGAGAGGUCGGCGCGGCUGUCAAACUCCAAACUUACGGACGCUGUCGACGCGGGGAGUCCGGUAUGCGGGGUAAGCCUGUGUACCGUGAGGGAGACAACCCAGAGCUGGGUUAAGGUCCCAAAGUGUGGAUUAAGUGCGAUCGAAGGUGGUCUCAAGCCCUAAACAGCCGGGAGGUGAGCUUAGAAGCAGCUACCCUCUAAGAAAAGCGUAACAGCUUACCGGCCGAGGUUUGAGGCGCCCAAAAUGAUCGGGGCUCAAAUCCACCACCGAAACCUGGCCGCAGGAGUCACAUCCUGACCGCGUAGGUCGGCGAUCCGAUUGGGUGGAAGCACGGGCGAGAGUUCGUGUGGACCGAUUGGAUACGAAAAUCCUGGUCACAGUAGCAGCGAUAGUCGGGUAAGAAUCCCGACGGCCUUACGAGCAAGGGUUCCUCGGCACUGUUCGUCAACCGAGGGUUAGUCGGUCCUAAGUCACACCGUAACUCGAAUGUGACAAAAGGGAAGCUGGUUAAUAUUCCAGCACCAUCACACACUCAAAGUCGACGCUUUGGGGCAAUCCGGUCCGGGCCAUCGCCCGGACGAAUCAUCGAACCUCGUGGAAGCCGUAAUGGCACGAAGCGAGCGAAGGGUGAGAUAGCGCAAGCCGGACGUACCUAGAGCCCGUGAAAAGACGAGUGUGAUGUCCGUACCGAGAUCCGACACAGGUGCUCGUGGCGGCGAAAGCCAAGGCCUGUCGGGGACAAUCGACGUUAGGGAAUUCGGCAAUCUAGUCCCGUACCUUCGGAAGAAGGGAUGCCUGCCUCGGAAAGAGGCAGGUCGCAGUGACUCGGGGGCUCGGACUGUCUAGUAACAACAUAGGUGACCGCAAAUCCGCAAGGACUCGUACGGUCACUGAAUCCUGCCCAGUGCGGGUAUCUGAACACCUAGUACAA